UAGAAUUAUGUCCGGUUGUGGUAUGCAGUUGCAAAAAAAAGUCUUCUAGUUCUCUUCGCUUUCUGUUUCCAUCCAAGCCUUGAAUGUUGUAUGAUGCGAUGGUGAGGUGUUCAACCAUCGCAAUCAGCUGGUUCUAUGUGGUUGGUCGGUUCUAAGCAGUUAUACUGAUUAGAACAACCAUGUAGUUCUAUGGGUGUAGUAUCUGGCGGGAUGGUGCCUUGAGAUAGGCCAGCUAAUUGGCCGGGUUGACCUCCACAAUCUUCUCUAACCUUGUUGGGGAGGAUUAUCCCUCUCCGGGGGCAGCGUGUACCAGUUCCAGUCUCAGGCUUGUUUGAUGCCAACCAUCUCUGUAUUCAAUCGAAUGAAUACAAACCAUUCGCAGAUUGAUCCUGUUCCCUUGAUGCGCCAUUGAUGGGUCCACAGUGCAUUGGAUCACCUUCGUAAUGGAUUCUGUCCAUUGUGUUUACAUAUAAUUUCUUUUCGGAGGGUGAGCAUAGUAGAGUUGACAAGGUGUGCACGGGCUGAGUCCAGUGUCCAGUCCUCUUCGGUGGAGAGGGUCUUGAGAAAAGUGGUGCUAAUCGGCUUAACCAACUGAGAUCGGCAUCCUACUGCCAGGUUCAGAAGGAGGAUAUGUGAUAGCUGAGGCUACGGCACCUGUAGCAGGGCCGUCCUCGGCUGGGAGAGGGAAAGUGUCGCCCGAAUCUGCUGAGAUAAAGGGUGUAAAGAAGGCUGAUUUGAAAGUUGCAAGUCGUGCUAACACCGAUAAUGAAGGUGGUGCAAGGGCAAACGAUGGACGAGGACACUUUAGUAAGUUUGGGGGUAGGGUUGAUGCUGAUCAGGACUACAAUGAGAAGUUGAGGACAACAUGGACCAUCAAGAGCUUGGGAAGUACCAGCACACAGUCGAUCUUAAGAUGCAGUGAGUCGAGCCUAUCAUCCUGAAUUUAUUUUGUGCUUGUGAUGCUGAUAGUGGUCAUGAUGCUCAAUAUCCCACGUCUCACAUCUGCUUGUGGUAUUGGGUUCAAAACAUUUCUACCGUCGAUGUUAUGUGUACAAAGCAGUUAUAAAGCACUUUCACCUGAGCAGAUGACUCGGUACGAGUGCUGCCGACAUUCUGGAUUUUCAGAUUGCCAACAUGUGACUUGUAUGUUCCGCUCUGAGGACGAUUUUGAAUUUUGAAUUUUUGCAAUAUUGCAUGGGAUGAAUAACCUGAAGAUGAAAAAUUCAAGUUCGAUUAGUGCAAGAGCAGAUGCCGUUGAAACUGUUAGAAUUUUACCAUACGCAGAUUGUUUGUUGUGUUGUCUAACCCUGCUCUGUUCUAAACGUCUGCAUGAGUAUUGAAGGAAGCAGUUGCGGCAGAGUGUAUCAGGUGAUCAAGUUUCGUUUCCCAUGACUAUUGUUAUCUCUGAAGUAGUAAAAAUGUUCGUCGGCGACCGUGUGGAGAUUGGUCUUUCGAUUUCCUUCAAAAUUCUGAAUAUUGUAUUUGCUCGUCCUCUGUAGAAGUAAACGAUUGUCAUUUUCUGAAAUGGCAGUGUUUCAAAAUUUCUAACAGGGUCGGCAUUGGUUUUGUGGGUCAACCACAACCCUUCUGAGCUAUUUAUGUCUCUCUUGCACUUCAUGGUUGUGAUGACGUUUGUAUGAUCCGUUGGCAUCGAAAACCACCUCCACGGUUUUUGAAUGGCAAUGGCAAACAUGUACAGCUUGUUUGAUCAUGGAGCUAGCUGUUAUUUUGGCUGGUCCUCUGGAUUGCAAAGUACCGGCAUCAAAUGUCUUCCCCAUGUGACAGGACGAGUGGUGAUGGCGAAAGAGAUGAAACUGGGCUUAACGUCCUACUCACCUUCGUGAAGCAUGUUGACGAUUGAAGCUGGAGGGUAAAGUUUCUUUUGCGUGGCAGGCCUCGCUCUUCCGGUAGUUCAGGUAUGAUUUGAAGGGGAUCGAUUUGAUGCUUUUCUUUCGUUUAGAGGGAAAGGUGAAACCUUAGCAUUCACUGUAUUGCAUCUCGGAGGCCUCUCAACAAUCACCAUCCGUGUGAGAUCUUACUUCCUCGGCAUUAGAUCUACAUACGAAACGAAAAAACCAUCUCAACUGAAACCGCAACAGAGUAUUGAAUACAACCCACGCUCACACCGCAAUCGUCAGAAGACAGUCAGGAGCAGCAAGAUUCCCAUUGACGAGUUCUGAAAAUACCAUGUCUGGAGUACACUAGAAGGAUUCAUUUGGAAUUAACAUGACAUCUGACGCGAUUCACCUUUCAGAAAAACGUGACCCAGACGUCUUGGGCACACAAACUGAGCACUUCACUGGCUCUCCAGCACAAACAGACUGCAAAUGCAUCCUAACUUGUGUUUGAGUUGUAAGCAAUGAGCUCUGUCCGGUCUCUGACAAGAUAAGCCACUUUUGGGACACAACUGUCAGCAAGCUCCACGGUCUUGCUCCGACACCAGUUACUGUGCUUGAGGAACGACCUGCAAGAGCAGAGUGCAUGCUGGAAAACUUAGAUUACUUUUAUCAGUCCUGAAAAAGGGGGGGGGGGUGAGUAACAUAGUGUACAUCUGUAAAUGCAACUCCAUAUAAGGAAUCUGUUUGGACGUUGAGAAUCUGUACUAUGCUAAACUUCACUGCCUCGGCACAGAUACCCACUUUUUUGUAUUCACUGGAGAGGACAUUUAAGAAGAUUCUGUAAAGAUCUACACUCUUCUUUUUAUAGAUUAUUGGUAACACAGUGUCCAUGCCCA